AUGCAGUGAUGACUAAAAAUAUAACACAUCAUGCAGACAAAAACUGUGGUGACAUUGAAACCCUGAGCAUA
ensembl:snoRNA SNORD63 Small nucleolar RNA SNORD63